UCUAAAAACACACAAAUCAAUGAUUCUGACCUAAAUUAACAUAAAACAUCUGUGGAUGUAUGCAGUGUGCUGUCACUGCGUGUUAGUUUUCUCCAACUCCGUCGACUGACUUCUAUUUUCUGAAAGGCACAUAAACAAUGGUUUCACACAGAGAUCAACAUAAAACAUCUGUUGCAUGUUUGCUUCCCGGGUCUUCCCUAUGUGGAGAGCGGUUUGAGUAGUGAGAAAAGUGCUAUAUAAAUGUAAAAGAAUUAAUUAAAAGAAUUAAGUCAACGUGAGAAGCAAUCUGGAUUGUACGAGCCCCUCGUGUGCCUCAUGUGGACAAAGUCGACAUCUGCCCUUAACAAUCCCCUUUCUCACCAUCUUCCACUUAAUGACAUUAACUCUUCUCCGUACAGGUAAAGUAAAGUUACAUUUUCGUCUAUAUUUUAUGUAUUUAUUCUUUUGUGUAAUAUUGUAUGCAUUUUCAUUGUUCUAGUAUAUGAUUUUAUGCAUGAAGUGUGGUUAUAAAGGUUUAAAUAAGCAGUCAUGGGGUUCGGGAGCGGAUGGAUCAAUUUUACAUGAUUUGGUAUGAUGGGGAAAAUGGUUUCAGUUUUUAAACAAAUCGGUUUCUAAACAGCCUUUAGGAACGAAUUUAUAAUCAAAAUCCGAGGUUCCACUGCAUUUCCUUAUUUAUUUCUUUGUGUGUUAAAUUAAUUAUGUACCCAUUUACUUAUUUCAAUGCCGCCGACAAGAUACGAAACACACCUUGAAAUGUAAUUAUUCUUAGAUUUAGUUGUCUGCGUAUUUAUUUAAUUUUUGACCACAAUAUGCCUCCAUAUUAGAUAUAUUUAUGUUCUGAAAUAUAUAUUGUAUGUAGCAAAAACAAAGUUGAAAAAUUUAAUGACAGUUUAAGUUGCUUUAGCCAAUAUAUUAAACUGUUGUACCGAGAUUGUUAAACAACUGCUCUCUCAAAGCUAAGAUUGAAGUUCUUUCAUGAGGUCUCAUCAUGCUGGUGAAGGUGAAUUAUCUUCAGGUGAAGAAAUACAUCAAAUUGCAAGAUGGGUUCACAUUUGAGGAGUUUCUAAACGAAGUAAAAAAAAAUUUGGGCUUACAGCAAAUGAUGCACUUCAAGUCUUUGAUGAGACAAAUACUAAUGUGGAGGAAGAUAUUUUUCAAGAGUUGGUUCAGAGCAACCCACAGAUAUGCUUCACAGUAAAAUGUCCUCCACAAGGACUUUUUGCUGAUCUGGAUGUUUCUGGUGGUAUUAUUUUUUUUUUU